UAACACCAGCGCCACGAGUGGGGACCACGUUUAUUUGGCCUAAAGCGUUCGUAGCCGGUUGAGUAAAUCUUCUGUGAAAUCGUUGUUCUCAAUGCAACGGCGUGCAGAAGACACUACUUAACUAGGAACCGGGAGGGGUUAGAAGUAUGCCAGGGGGAGCGGUAAAAUGCUAUAAUCCUUGGUGGACUACCUUUGGCGAAGGCGUCUAACUAGAACGGGUUCGACGGUGAGGAACGAAAGCUAGGGGAGCGAUCCGGAUUAGAUACCCGAGUAGUCCUAGCCGUAAACUUUGCGAGCUAGAUAUUGCAUAUUUUUCGUGAAUGUGCAGUGUCGAAGCGAAGGCGUUAAGCUCGCCGCCUGGGAAGUAUAGUCGCAAGACCG
rnacentral:rRNA from 1 species